AAUAGAUACCCGGGUAGUCCACGCCGUAAACGAUGUCGACUUGGAGGUUGUGCCCUUGAGGCGUGGCUUCCGGAGCUAACGCGUUAAGUCGACCGCCUGGGGAGUACGGCCGCAAGGUUAAAACUCAAAUGAAUUGACGGGGGCCCGCACAAGCGGUGGAGCAUGUGGUUUAAUUCGAUGCAACGCGAAGAACCUUACCUACUCUUGACAUCCAGAGAACUUAGCAGAGAUGCUUUGGUGCCUUCGGGAACUCUGAGACAGGUGCUGCAUGGCUGUCGUCAGCUCGUGUUGUGAAAUGUUGGGUUAAGUCCCGCAACGAGCGCAACCCUUAUCCUUUGUUGCCAGCGGGUUAGGCCGGGGAACUCAAAGGAGACUGCCAGUGAUAAACUGGAGGAAGGUGGGGAUGACGUCAAGUCAUCAUGGCCCUUACGGAGUAGGGCUACACACGUGCUACAAUGGCAUAUACAAAGAGAAGCGACCUCGCGAGAGCAAGCGGACCUCAUAAAGUAUGUCGUAGUCCGGAUUGGAGU
rnacentral:rRNA from 1 species